GAUGAACGCUGGCGGUAUGCUUAACACAUGCAAGUCGAACGGACUCUUCGGAGUUAGUGGCGGACGGGUGAGUAACGCGUGAGAAUCUGGCUUUGGGUUCGGGACAACCACUGGAAACGGUGGCUAAUACCGGAUGUGCCGAGAGGUAAAAGAGAAAUUGCCUGAAGAUGAGCUCGCGUCUGAUUAGCUAGUUGGUGAGGUAAAGGCUCACCAAGGCAGCGAUCAGUAGCUGGUCUGAGAGGAUGACCAGCCACACUGGGACUGAGACACGGCCCAGACUCCUACGGGAGGCAGCAGUGGGGAAUUUUCCGCAAUGGGCGAAAGCCUGACGGAGCAAUACCGCGUGAGGGAAGAAGGCUCUUGGGUUGUAAACCUCUUUUCUUAGGGAAGAACAAAAUGACGGUACCUAAGGAAUCAGCAUCGGCUAACUCUGUG
rnacentral:rRNA from 1 species